UAACGAAUCUUCCCCAAUGCACGCAAGUGUGAGGGAGCGGCGCCGCGUGGAGGACGAAGUUCUUCGGAAUGUAAACUCCUGUCAGGGAUUAGAAAGUUCUGAUCAAUCCCAGAGGAAGAGGCGGCUAACUCUGUGCCAGCAGCCGCGGUAAUACAGAGGCCUCAAGCGUUAGGCGGAAUCACUGGGCUUAAAGCGUGUGUAGGCGGAUGCCUAAGUGCCUUGUGAAAUCCCACGGCGCAACCGUGGAACUGCUGGGCAUACUGGGUGUCUUGAGCCAUCCAGGGGUCGCUGGAACAAACGGUGGAGCGGUGAAAUGCGUAGAUAUCGUUUGGAACGCCAAAGGUGAAGACAGGCGACUGGGGAUGUGCUGACGCUGAGACACGAAAGCCAGGGGAGCAAACG
rnacentral:rRNA from 1 species